rnacentral:rRNA from 1 species
CAGUCGCCGCGGUAAUACGGAGGGUGCAAGCGUUAAUCGGAAUUACUGGGCGUAAAGCGCACGCAGGCGGUCUGUCAAGUCAGAUGUGAAAUCCCCGGGCUUAACCUGGGAACUGCAUUUGAAACUGGCAGGCUAGAGUCUUGUAGAGGGGGGUGGAAUUCCAGGUGUAGCGGUGAAAUGCGUAGAGAUCUGGAGGAAUACCGGUGGCGAAGGCGGCCCCCUGGACAAAGACUGACGCUCAGGUGCGAAAGCGUGGGGAGCAAACAGGAUUAGAUACCCCUGUAGUCCCUGUCUCUUAUAC